CGGGGGGUGGCGCAGUUUGGCAGCGCGCCUGGUUUGGGACCAGGAGGUCGCCGGUUCAAACCCGGCUCCCCCGA
rnacentral:tRNA from 1 species